CCUACGGGGGGCAGCAGUGGGGAAUAUUGCACAAUGGGGGAAACCCUGAUGCAGCGACGCCGCGUGAGUGAAGAAGGAUUUCGGUAUGUAAAGCUCUAUCAGCAGGGAAGAAAAUGACGGUACCUGAUUAAGAAGCCCCGGCUAACUACGUGCCAGCAGCCGCGGGAAUACGUAGGGGGCCAGCGUUAUCCGGAUUUACUGGGGGUAAAGGGAGCGUAGACGGCAGCACAAGGCUGGAGGGAAAUGCCGGGGCUUAACCCCGGAACUGCUUUGGAAACUGGGCAGCUAGAGUGCAGGAGAGGUAGGUGGAAUGCGUGGUGUAGCGGUGAAAUGCGUAGAUAUUAGGAGGAACACCAGUGGCGAAGGCGGCUUACUGGACUGUAACUGACGUUGAGGCUCGAAAGCGUGGGGAGCAAACAGGAUUAGAUACCCCGGUAGUC
rnacentral:rRNA from 1 species